UUUCCGUAGGUGAACCUGCGGAAGGAUCAUUAAAGAACGCCCCGUUUUCUGAAAUGGGUAAUUCUAAACCGUGUAUACAUACCUUUGUUGCGUUGGCGGCCCGCCCCUCAGCGCGCCGGGUCCGGCUGACUGAGCCUGCCAUAGGACCCAAACUCUUUUGUUUAGUGUUGUCUGAGUACUAUAUAAUAGUUAAAACUUUCAACAACGGAUCUCUUGGUUCUG
rnacentral:misc_RNA from 1 species